rnacentral:lncRNA from 1 species
AUGAAUUUGGUAACUUGAACCGGAAAUUUAAAGAUAAAAGCCAAGAACUUAAGGUAUAUUGACUUGUACAGAGUUUCAUAAGACUGUAGCUUUGAAGUAGUUCUUUAAGCAGUGUCAGCCUUUGUGGCACAGAAAGUGACAAGCUUGGAGAAAAAAUUGCCUUAGGCCUUGCUAUACCUUACUGCUUUCUCACAUUCCAACAGAGAAAGAUGCUUUAAAGCCAAGAAUCCAAGCUUUAUAACUUUCAGAUAAAUAGUUAAUGAUGGAANNNNNNNNNNGCUGACCUGCUAAGUGACCUGGAGAAACUGAGGAAGCAGGAGGCACAAUGGAAAAAAGAAAAAUCUGGCAAUGAUACCAGAAUAAAGGAACCACCUGUGAAACGUUCAAGGUCUCUGUCCCUGAAGAGCUCUUUUAGAGAGUCAGAGGAACUAAGGAAGCUUAAAAUAGCUGAGAGGAAGAUUGAAAACUUAGAGAAGACACUACAGCUAAAGAACCACUUUUUAAACUUAGUGAAGAUGAUGGGGUCAAGGGUCAUACUCCAAAGAGGUAUAUGAGAGAAGUUUCACAUGAGGUGUUACAGAAGGUACAACAACUAGAAAGAAGAUUCAAAGCUAUUGAAGGAGAAUUGAAGAAACAGAAAAAAGUAAAUAAAGACUUACUGAAUGAGAAAAUG